GCUGGCCGCCUGGGUUACGGCUCAAAUAGUGCAUCUUUACAAAAGCCUCCCAGCCGGGAUGGAGGUUCUGCAUCUCCUAAGCGGCGAUAUAACCCAAAAUGUUGACUCAGGAGUUUGGGGUCAACUGUCCCACGUCUAAGCCAUAUAUUUGAAGAAUGACCUUUAUUGCGUCAUGGAGAGGGAAGCGGAGGCCGGCUAAGAAUGCCGGCUCAUAAUAGCCAAAGUAGUCAUUGGCGUUCUGCUGGUCAUCUUCCCACGCUAUGGUGCCCAGCUCAGGCGGCUCCUGGAUGGCAUAGUUCCCCCCAAGGGGACGUUUCUUCUUGAAAUUUUCGAGGCUCGCUUGCAUGUUUGCCCUAUCCCUGGCUCACACAUGAAUUUGAAACGGGUCCAUCUUGUUUGAUUGCUGCUUCUCCACGGAUGUGUUGAAUGAAGAUGAGUACACAGAAUACCUUGGUGGUAUUGUAACACAGCUACAGGACUACUACCCAGAUGCCUCAUUCAUGGUGUUUAACUUUAGAGAAGGGGAUCGAAGGAGUCAUAUUACUGAUAUAUUGUCUGAUUAUGAUAUGACGGUUAUGAAAUAUCCUCGUCAAUAUGAGAAAUGUCCUUUACUUCCCCUGGAAAUGGUUUACCACUUCCUGCGCUCCAGUGAGAGCUGGCUGUCGUUGGAGGGACAGCAAAAUGUAUUGCUGAUGCACUGUGAAAGAGGUGGCUGGCCUGUCCUUGCUUUUAUUCUUGCAGGUCUUCUUUUAUACAGAAAGAACUAUUCCGGCGAGCAAAAAACACUUGAAAUGGUUUCUCAAGCAGGCCUCGAGGGAACUACUUCAGCUUUUGUCUCCUUUAAAUUCACAGCCUUUACAACAGAUAUAUCUUCAGUAUAUAUCCCGAAGAAGUUUGUUUAGGCUCUGAUUGGCCUCCUUCUGACACACCUCUCAUUCUAGAUUGUUUAAUACUUAGAGUCCUUCCUUAAUGUUUAUAGGUCUUGUAUUGUUUUCUACAUCAAAAUGUCAAUUAAUAGUUUUGGUUACCUUUUCUUGAAUGCGAGUAACAUCAAUCUUUGGAUGGAAUGUGUUUGUGAGCUACUAUGAUCUUAUUGUUACAGAGUUAAAGUUGCGCUUUAAUGGUAAAACAUUUUGGCAAACUUUAACAUUAAAUUGCUUUGAUGAAUUUGAUCAUUCUUUAGUUUCUAACUUGGUGAUUGGUAAUGUAUUUCAUGUGAUAGAUGUCUUGGAUUGCAUCAUAAUUAAAACCUAGGUAUCCAGGCACCAAAGUGGUCUAAAUCAAACUCUCUCUAACUCAUCCUCACUUUCUCUCUGCUCUCAGACAAAGACGACGGUGACUUCAUUCUUCUGAUGACUGAUGCUCUUUGCAAGAGGUGCAGUGUGAGAAAAGUUAGUCUUGUAGAUAACUAGAUAUCAUACAAGCUGGUCAUGGUGAUCACUAUCAGGUACUUCAUAAGGUUGGGGCUGAAAGAGCUUGUGCUGCAGCAAUAACAUUGGACACUCCUGGACAUCUGGUGCAAAUUAUAGAACUGUGUGGGCUUUGAGCAAGCACAACCCUUGACCAAUGAUCUGCCACUGAAGCUUGACCAAUUUUACCCGGUGGACUUGUUUGGAAUAAGAAACUACAAUAAUUCAAUAUAUAGACAUUGGUUGCUUAUCUCUUAUUUACUUGGACUUUAUGGAACUCCAGUUCUGAGCUCUUUAUAUUAUAUUUUGUCCAUGAGAACAGCUGGGAUUGUUUUUUGUAUAAUAAUAUUUGGCAUUGAUUUCUAUGGAAGUUAAUUCUAUAUACAAGGAAUUAGGUUCUGAUUUUUUAAUAGAUAUCUUGAUUUGAACUUGAAUUCUUUCCACCAAAAAAUGCUAGAAUUAUAUCUUUUCCUGCAAUCAAAGUAUCAAAAUCUAUUUUAAGCAAUCUUAAAAAGGUUUAUAUGUCAUAUUGUUAGUAAGCUCAUAAGUUUUUCUCUUACCUUGUCUAGCCAUUGCUGGUUGUUAAAUUUAUGUUUUGUAUUUUAAUAGCUAAUCUAUUUGUGCUAUGCAGAAAUUGCCUCAGUAUCCAUUGCCAACUCUUGACCUUGUUCUGAGAGGUCUUAUUCUAACUGAUUUUGAGUUUUGAAAUUGAAACACUUUUCCCUAUUCAUCUGAUUCACACUAUAUAGUCUCGAAAGACUGACAAUUUGUCUGAUUUAUAUUGUAGAUAAAUACAGUUGCUUAUGAAAUACAAUUUGUGCAUAACUGUCAUUCCUUUAAACUCCCUCUCCCAAUAUUCUAUCAUCGACUACCAAGCAAAGGAGUUUCUUGCUGCUUUGAAUCUGGUUCUAAUAAAGGGAUAACAAAAUUUAUAUGGCUUUAAAGGAGAAAAAGCUCUUCUAUACAGCGGGGAUUGAUUUAAAGAUACAAAAUAGAAUUGAAUCGGAGUUGAGUGUUCAAAUUUCAAACUAAAGCUGUUAAUUGAUAUAGGAGCAUCUAUUUAUUUCUACUAUGUUAGUUAUUGUACGUUAAUUUUCGUUUUUUAAGUUUCAGCUUGUGAAUUUUAUAUAUGAUAAUAAAGCUCAUUUAGUUUGAACUUCUAUUGAAUCAUAUGUUUAGAUUUCUUCUCACCAAACCAAAAAAAAAAAAAAAAAUUAGUUUAUUAUUUCUUCAUUCGGAUUUUAUUAUUCUCUAUUUCAAUUUGUAUACAAAAUUUAUAUUGAUUUAUGUUUUCAAAGUAUGA